UACCGAGGGGGCGAGCGUUGUUCGGAAUUACUGGGCGUAAAGGGCGCGUAGGCGGCCAACUAAGUCGGACGUGAAAUCCCCUGGCUCAACCAGGGAACUGCGUCCGAUACUGAUUGGCUUGAAUCCGGGAGAGGGAUGUGGAAUUCCAGGUGUAGCGGUGAAAUGCGUAGAUAUCUGGAGGAACACCGGUGGCGAAGGCGGCAUCCUGGACCGGUAUUGACGCUGAGGCGCGAAAGCCAGGGGAGCAAACGGG
rnacentral:rRNA from 1 species